AAUUUAAAGUCUAACCUGCCCACUGAAAAUUUUUGAAGGGCCGCAGUAUUUUGACUGUGCAAAGGUAGCAUAAUCAUUUGUCUUUUAAUUAAAGGCUGGAAUGAAUGGUUGGAUGAAAUAUUAACUGUCUCAUUUUUAAAAAUAUAAAAAUUUAUCUUUUUAGUCAAAAGACUGAAAUAAAUUUAAAAGACGAGAAGACCCUAUAGAUCUUUAUAAAUUUUAUUUAUAUAAAAAUUAGAUUAAAAAUAAUUAUAUAAAAUAAAUUUAUUUUAUUGGGGUGAUAGGAAAAUUUAAUAAACUUUUUUUAAUAUAAAACAAUGAUUUUUGAGUAUUUGAUCCAAUAUUAUUGAUUAUAAAUUUAAGUUACCUUAGGGAUAACAGCGUAAUUUUUUUUGAGAGUUCUUAUCGAAAAAAAAGUUUGCGACC
rnacentral:rRNA from 1 species